rnacentral:rRNA from 3 species
UGGGGAAUAUUGCACAAUGGGCGCAAGCCUGAUGCAGCCAUGCCGCGUGUAUGAAGAAGGCCUUCGGGUUGUAAAGUACUUUCAGCGAGGAGGAAGGCAUUAAGGUUAAUAACCUUAGUGAUUGACGUUACUCGCAGAAGAAGCACCGGCUAACUCCGUGCCAGCAGCCGCGGUAAUACGGAGGGUGCAAGCGUUAAUCGGAAUUACUGGGCGUAAAGCGCACGCAGGCGGUCUGUUAAGUCAGAUGUGAAAUCCCCGGGCUCAACCUGGGAACUGCAUUUGAAACUGGCAGGCUUGAGUCUUGUAGAGGGGGGUAGAAUUCCAGGUGUAGCGGUGAAAUGCGUAGAGAUCUGGAGGAAUACCGGUGGCGAAGGCGGCCCCCUGGACAAAGACUGACGCUCAGGUGCGAAAGCGUGGGGAGCAAACA